UAGGGAAUCUUCGGCAAUGGACGAAAGCCUGACCGAGCAACGCCGCGUGAGUGAAGAAGGCUUUCGGAUCGUAAAACUCUGUUGUUAGAGAAGAACAAGGACGUUAGUAACUGAACGUCCCCUGACGGUAUCUAACCAGAAAGCCACGGCUAACUACGUGCCAGCAGCCGCGGUAAUACGUAGGUGGCAAGCGUUGUCCGGAUUUAUUGGGCGUAAAGCGAGCGCAGGCGGUUUCUUAAGUCUGAUGUGAAAGCCCCCGGCUCAACCGGGGAGGGGCAUUGGAAACUGGGAGACUUGAGUGCAGAAGAGGAGAGUGGAAUUCCAUGUGUAGCGGUGAAAUGCGUAGAUAUAUGGAGGAACACCAGUGGCGAAGGCGGCUCUCUGGUCUGUUACUGACGCUGAGGCUCGAAAGCGUGGGGAGCAAACAGG
rnacentral:rRNA from 1 species